AUGCCGAGUUAGCGGACGAAUUUGAGC
rnacentral:piRNA from 1 species